GACGAACGCUGGCGGCGUGCCUAACACAUGCAAGUCGAACGGACGAGAUGGCUUCGGCCAUCGAGUUAGUGGCGGACGGGUGAGUAACGCGUGAGCAACCUGCCUUACAGAGGGGGAUAACACACGGAAACGUGUGCUAAUACCGCAUAAAUCAGGCUAAUGGCAUCAUUAGCUUGGCAAAGGAGCAAUCCGCUGUAAGAUGGGCUCGCGUCCGAUUAGAUAGUUGGCGGGGUAACGGCCCACCAAGUCUGCGAUCGGUAGCCGGACUGAGAGGUUGAUCGGCCACAUUGGGACUGAGACACGGCCCAGACUCCUACGGGAGGCAGCAGUGGGGAAUCUUGCACAAUGGGCGAAAGCCUGAUGCAGCGACGCCGCGUGAGCGAAGAAGGCCUUCGGGUUGUAAAGACGUCUGUCUGGAGGGACGGAAGGAAGGUAGACGGUACCUCCGGACGGAAGGCCACGGCUAACUACGUAGCCAGCAGCCGCGGUAACG
rnacentral:rRNA from 1 species